UGAGGAAUUUUGCGCAAUGGGAGCAAUCCUGACGCAGCAACGCCGCGUGGGUGAUGAAGGCCUUCGGGUCGUAAAGCCCUGUCCGGUGGGAAGAAUGUCCCGGAACUGAACGGGUUUCGGGAGUGACGGUACCACCAGAGGAAGCACCGGCUAACUCCGUGCCAGCAGCCGCGGUAAUACGGAGGGUGCAAGCGUUAUUCGGAAUUACUGGGCGUAAAGCGCGUGUAGGCGGUCCUGCAAUUCUGAUGUGAAAGCCCCGGGCUUAACCCGGGAAGUGCAUUGGAAACUGCAGGUAUUGAGUACUGGAGAGGAUGGGGGAAUUCCCGGUGUAGAGGUGAAAUUCGUAGGGAUCGGGAGGAAUAUCAGUGGCGAAGGCGCCCAUCUGGACGGUAACUGACACUGAGACGCGAAAGCGUGGGGAGCAAACA
rnacentral:rRNA from 1 species